GAUGAACGCUGGCGGCGUGCCUAAUACAUGCAAGUCGAGCGAAUGGAUUAAGAGCUUGCUCUUAUGAAGUUAGCGGCGGACGGGUGAGUAACACGUGGGUAACCUGCCCAUAAGACUGGGAUAACUCCGGGAAACCGGGGCUAAUACCGGAUAACAUUUUGAACCGCAUGGUUCGAAAUUGAAAGGCGGCUUCGGCUGUCACUUAUGGAUGGACCCGCGUCGCAUUAGCUAGUUGGUGAGGUAACGGCUCACCAAGGCAACGAUGCGUAGCCGACGUGAGAGGGUGAUCGGCCACACUGGGACUGAGACGCGGGCCAGACUCCUACGGGAGGCAGCAGUAGGGAAUCUUCCGCAAUGGACGAAAGUCUGACGGAGCAACGCCGCGUGGGUGAUGAAGGCUUUCGGGUCGUAAAACUCUGUUGUUAGGGAAGAACAAGUGCUAGUUGAAUAAGCCGGCACCUUGACGGUACCUAACCAGAAAGCCACGGCUAACUACGUGCCAGCCGCCGCAGUAA
rnacentral:rRNA from 1 species